GGCAGCUCCAGCGACCAUACCAUUUAGAGCCACUCACAUACUUUGGCGGGACAGCACGCGAGGCAGCUGGAAAGAAAAUAUGAGGCAGAGAAGAAAUGAUACUGACUCUGUGAGGAAUUUGGCCUGGGACAACAGGCAUGUGAUGUACUGAAGAGGAGGGCAAAGUUUCCAAGCCAGCAGAGAGAAAAAAGGAGGGAGCAACCCAGCAGUGUUCAGAAGGGGCAAACUAUAAAUAUAGAGAAAGGCUCCUACCAG